rnacentral:rRNA from 1 species
UACGUAGGGUGCAAGCGUUGUCCGGAAUUAUUGGGCGUAAAGAGCUCGUAGGCGGCCUGUUGCGUCCGCUGUGAAAUCCCAGGGCUCAACCCCUGGGCGUGCAGUGGAUACGGGCAGGCUGGAGGCAGGCAGGGGAGAACGGAAUUCCCGGUGGUAGCGGUGAAAUGCGCAGAUAUCGGGAGGAACACCGGUGGCGAAGGCGGUUCUCUGGGCCUGUACUGACGCUGAGGAGCGAAAGCGUGGGGAGCGAACAGG